AUUGAACGCUGGCGGCAGGCCUAACACAUGCAAGUCGAGCGAGCGGCGGACGGGUGAGUAAUGUCUGGGAAACUUCCUGAUGGAGGGGGAUAACUACUGGAAACGGUAGCUAAUCCCGCAUACCAUCAGAUGUGCCCAGAUGGGCUUAGCUAUUAGGUGGGGUAACGGCUCACCUAGGCGACGAGCCCUAGCUGGUCUGAGAGGAUGACCAGUCACACUGGAACGGAGACACGGGCCAGACUCCGACGGGAGGCAGCAGGGGGGAAUAUUGCACAAGGGGCGCAAGCCUGAUGCAGCCAUGCCGCGUGUGUGAAGAAGGCCUUCGGGUUGGAAAGCACUUUCAGCGGGGAGGCGUUACCCGCAGAAGAAGCACCGGCUAACUCCGUGCCAGCAGCCGCGGUAAUUC
rnacentral:rRNA from 1 species